GGCUUUUCACACAGUGUUGGAUCAAAGGAGGGUAAACCACAGAAAGUCAUUGCUGAAAGGGCUGACUGUUCACAGAGUGCGGGAUCAAAGUAUAUUCGGGGAAAGUUUACUGGAAGGGAAACGUGUGGUAGGAAAAGAGGCACAAGCA